rnacentral:lncRNA from 1 species
UUUAUUUCAUUUUUCUAUAGAGCUUUGAUCCCCCUCUUGGGAUUUAUCAAUAGUUUCAUCCUCUUUCAUUCUCUUUAGACUUUAGAAACUAAGUGGUGACAUCAGGAAAAUGUCAUGUGGGCAAGCUCACGCACCAUUCUUUGAAGCCGCACGCGUUCCCCGGGGCUAUUGGGAAAGGCGAGCUAGCAGAUCCCCCGGCUGUCUGCCCAUGACUAAUUCAAAGCAAAGCAAAGACACACUCGAUGCAUUCCUUUUGUGCAGUAACAAUGGAAAUGAAUGCAUAGAUUUAUUCACCUUUAAUAUUUCCUAUGAGAAGACACCAAGGUCGUCUUCUGCCAUUGUAGCAAUCAGCUUGCAGAAUGCUGUAAGAACAGAAGGAAGGCCGCUGGGACAGGAUGGCUUCACAACCCCUGCUCAUCGCUCCAGGGAGACAGUAGCAACCACGAAUAAAUAAAACCAUCCAAGAACACAGCUGCACCUUUUAUUGGUACGGUGACUUUCCAAAGGCUGGUAUGAAUACAAAGUUCCAAGUAGCACUGCCUGAUGGCACUGCCUGAUGGCACUGCCGAGGACUUCCGGACAGCCACAGAAGCACACGGGUAAACAGGGCGGUUGUGUUACUGGGAGGGUGGAGGAGAUACAGCAGGUGAGCCAUGCAGCGCAGCUCGGAGGGGACAGAAACCUUGGGAUGUGGGGCACCAGCAGCACAUCUCCACCGGCUCCUCUGUACUGUGCAGACUGCAAGUGGAACCGACCCGGUCACACCACUGGCUAUGAAUGUGAAGCCACACGUGUGUAACUGAGCUCCCGGAACCUAGGGUGACGCCAGGAGGUGACAUGUGGGUAAAGAGCUCGCAGUGCACUUGAGCAGAGACAUUGCACAGAAAGGCUGUGCCCUGAGGCCAGGAGAGCCGAGAACCUGGGGCUCCGUGUGGGCGCGCGCGGGCUCCACUCUGGCCAAGCUAAAGCAGUGACAUAGUCUCGAGGAUUUCAGGUCCUUCAGGCUUAAUUAAAAAAAAAAAAAAAAAAAGGCGUGUGGAGGAAAGAAAAUUCUAGAAAUGCAUUUUUAAAAAAAUGUGUGUGUUGAAGGGAGCACCACCAAUUGUAUCAGGUUAUAAAACAAGGUCCUAAACAUGUAAAUAAUGAUCAGGUUUGUAAUUCCAAUAAAACACAACUGCAAAGAAAUCA